GUGCUCGAUUCGGCAGCACAUAUACUAAAACUGGAAUGAUACAGAGAAGAUUAGCAUGGCCCUGUGCGAGGAUGACACACAGAUUUGUGAAGUAUUCCAUAUUUUU
rnacentral:snRNA from 1 species